CUUCAUUGAAACCUUUACCCAAUCACUUCAUCUUCAUAAUCAAAAAUCACUUCAUCUAAGCCUUUCCCCUAAUCAAAAUCACUUCAUCUUCAUAAUCAAAAAUCACUUCAUCUUCUUCGACCACCGAAAUCGUUUUCUUCUACUCUCUGCAAAUUAUUCAAUCUCUUCAUUUCAUCAUCUGAAAAUCGCCAAUCGAUAGAACAUGGAAGCAAAAUUUCUCUUAGAGCUAAAAACAAAUUUGAAUUGAUCUGAAGUUUCAGAUCUAUACUGGCUUCAAUCAAUGGAUUCCCAUAAUCUGGGACGCUAGGCAUAAAUUGGAGACUCGAAUGCGACUUCAUGAUUUAAGGUUUUCAUGAGAGAGACACAUUGUUUCCAGCGAGUUGCAACAGCGAUACGAUCGUUGUGUUGCGUUACUGCAAGUUCAAAAAAUGCCUGGCAAGCAGUUAGUAAUGUUUUGACGUGUUCAGAAAGUGGUUACUAAAGUUACGGCGUGUUUGGCGAGCAUUUAAUAGUGUUAUGGCGUGGCCGACGAGUGGUUAUUCAAAUCUGUUGUUGCAUUAGCUUUGUGUGUAGGAGGAAUUCAUUCCAGUCUUGUGUUCAUACUCUUCACUCUCUUCUUCCUUCCUCUCUCAAAAUCACUUUUGAUUUUCGCUUUGAUCACACUGUUUAUGGUCCUUCCUGUGAACAAGAACAGUUUCCUAGCCCAAAAAUUAUCCAGAUUCAUAUGUAAACAUGUUUGCGGUUAUUUUCCUAUCACCCUUCACUUAGAGGAUGCAGAAGCUUUCCAUCAUGACCAAUCUUAUGGAAAGUAUACCUGUAGAAUUUGUGAAUAAACCUGGCAAAUGGGCCGAAAACAUCAAAAUUUUGGAUCCGUCGGAAGAAGGUUGCAGGCUUGGACCUAUUGUCAGUGUGAAUCACUUGGAGCAUGUGCAUGGAAGAAGCUUUCAAAUUGGUUGAGCGUCGAGAACCUUUACACUCAAUCACCAGAUCAGUUGUUUCUGGCCAUGGCUUGUAAUAGUAACGCAACACAUGAAAAGGUAUGUUCUAAGUCUGUUUGUCUAUUUUCUUCUUUACAUCCAUGUAAUCUUGUGAUGCUCCUUAUAUAUUUUGUGUUGUACUUAAAGUGUUUUCUCAAGGCUUCUGGGUGUUGUACUUUGUGUUAAAGAAUCCAAGAAAAUCAUGUGGUCACUAGCAUAUCAUAAAGCUUCUACUGUAUUAACCAAAUGGAACAGAUGCACUUGGCCUUGCAAUUUCAAAUUAAUUAUUUUCUAAUUAUAUUCACCUUUUAACAGCAAUGUAGGCAAUCGUAAGGUAGAAAAAAUCUUGAUUUCACAUGCUAGCUUCAUAAUUGUGGUGAGUUUUUGGAGCUUCAAUGAUUUUUGGGAUUGGGGUUUCCUUAUGAAAAACUUAUUACUGCUAUUCACUUAGUUUUAAAGCACGAAUAACUUUCCAUAUGCUACUUCUCUUAUAUAGAUGAAAACACCCUAGCUGAAUCAUUUUCCACAGCGACAUCCCCAGUGAAAGAACUCCGCCUCCAAACGAUGUAUGCCACCUUAGUAGUGCAGCGAGUGCAGUCAUAGGCUUUGAUGGCGUUGGAAGCGUUGAGCCACAAAAGCAUACUUUUUUCUGUGUAUAGAUACGUGACGCUACACCCAAUGGGCCGUUGGGGAGCACAAAUGAAGCACUGACUUGCGUGGCUUGGCACCUUUAACCAAAAAGGCAAAGCCACUAAGCUUACGAUAUUUCUGCAAAACGGUUUUCGCGAAAAGGAUGCAUCAUUAAUUUUGGAUUCCUGGAUUCAUCAUGGCUGUACAAAGAAGCGUGUUCAGAUUCAUGUAUUCUUCUAAAAUUUCUUUCAGCUCCAGUAGUUUAUGUUUGGCUGCAUGAAGAGUUAAAGAAGCAUAUGAUGAUAGAGGAGGCAUGCAGCUCACAUAAUUCUCAAGCCACCAAAGAUUCUACAUGCAGGAAGAAUGAUACUUAUUCAAAGGGAACAGUUUAGAUUAAGAUGUAUGAAAGUGAGGAUAUGAGACUAAUGUGAAGAUACAAAUUAGAAUACAAAUAUAUGUGUUUUUUUUUAAGAUUCAUAUUUUGUGUAAGAUUCUAAGUAUACAGAUGGAAUGAAGCUUCAAAUGUUGAAAUAUUUGAUUUUAAUAGAAAAUGGGGUAAUUAUUUAAUUUUUGUCAUGAUUUUUAAUGUAUUUAAAA